ACUCGAUGCUUCCGGUCGGUCGGGGUCGGUCGGGGACCAAAUGUAAACACUCCUCCCCCCACGUUGACACGAUCGUCUCAAGCAUCAGGCAGCAGUUAGGUGCGCACGGACCGUUUUCGCUGCAUUCUUCAGCAGGGACAUCGCAGCGACCAACGAUCGCCGGGGCGAUUGUGGGAUCACCAGUGCAACCGGGACCAACGGGCACGCGUUUCAAAUCGGCAAAGGAACACGGUUCCCGCAACGAAAUGGAUUGCGCCCUCAACAUCCGGUCCCUACCCAAGCGCUGGUGGUUUGAAUUAUGUGUUACCAAACGACCAAAACCGUCGAGGGCUUUCUUCCGCUGGCAGCCACAACCGCAAUCUGAGAACGCGGUUUUAGUUUAGUUUAGUUUUUUUUUAUCCCAUCAACAGCAUCAUAAGAGCGAACGUCUGGUGAUGCUGUGGAAUGGGCAACGCGUACAGCCACCGACCGGUAGCUGAUAUGUUCGAACGGGCCAUGCUUGGGUAGCGAUGGAUAGUUCAGCAUAGUUAAGCAUAGUUAGCAGCAGCAUAGUUAAACGCGGUCGCACGAGCUCCUCACGUUAGUUGCCGGUGAACCUAACGGUUAAAAUGCGAUUUAAAGAAUCCGUUGCACUUGACUUAAUGUAGUGUGGAGUGUCGUUUGUUGUGCGCUCUGGUUGGAUUCAGUUCCUUCAUUUAUUCACACGUUGCUUAAGCUGCUCCAGGGAGACGCUCGCAUGCAUCAUUCAGCGCCGCUACAUAGGCAACCUAGCAAGCUGUCCGUUCCGAAACGAUGUCUCUAUAGAGCCUUGGAGCCCGUUGCACAGCAGAAGCAAAGCAAACCUAAUGGAGCAGAUGUGUGUUUAAUAACGUUUUAACAGUUUAGUGACGGUGAAGCAGUUGAUGGAAGGAAUGUAUGUGGAUUUGGUGUUUGUGCUCCUCUGUAAUUAAAAUGCUCGCCGUAAUCCGCAAGUCGGUGUCAAGAUCGCUUCCGAAGCACUAUCCAUCGCUAGCCGUACAUGGUCGGUUCGCAUUUUACUGCUGGUUCGUUGGCAAAUCCUCUUUUCUCUUCCGUUUCUGCUACACUUGGUGGAAUUGUGUCAUUUCUUAUUUGUGAUGAAAUGAACCUCUCUGCUACGUUUCUAUCGUUUCGAUUUGCACGGUUGGGCAAAUCAUUUCAAUUUGGUUUAAAGAUUAGAAAUUUAAUAAAAUACUGUAUUAAAAAGAAGAACAAUUAAAACACCACUUGAGUAAAGUGACAAUAAAGCGUCAAGAAACGUUGCAUUAGAGUAUAGCGGCCAAAAUCACACGAUAGACCACAGUGUCGUCACAGCAAAUUGAGAGAGAAAUUGUUGUGAAUUGUUAAAAUGAUUUUUUUUUUUAACAAACGGAAGCAAAAAUUGGUUGAUGGAUUUUUUUCCAGUUCUGUGGAGUUUUUUUUUAAUUCGAAAAUACAAAUUUCUUCUCCCAAAAAUUGGGUUUUAAUGUAGAAUUAAAUGAGGAAAAUUGUUCUGUGCAGAGUGUAAUCGAAACCGUUCGCACCGUCUAGGUGGAACUGGCAAUUAACAAUAAAGUUUUUCUAAACAAAAUCGUUCAAUUUGCUCCGUAAAAUCAAUUCCAUGUACUUGGGUGUGCAGCCGAGAAAGGGCAACUUUGCGCUUCUGUGCGAUAGCCAAAAAGAUCUAAAGUAACGGAUCAACCCUAUUCCAAGCAACUUGGGAUAGCCAAAUCGGGUUUGAUUGCUUUCUUAUCCGAUUCUAGGAAUCCGAUUGACUUGAAAUUUGCCAUCGGUGUGUACUGCUACAGCCGUCUAUUUCUGAAAGCAGUUGUUAUUGAUUUUUUAAAAAAGUAUAAUAAACCUGUUUUUUUUUCGAAUUAAUUUUUGCAAUACCCCUAUUCUAGGCGAUCGGAUUAUACCCGGGUAGCCGGCGUCUUGGGAGGCCUAUAACGUUUGAAUGCAUUAUCCAAUACAGUUGCAAUAUUCUGAUGAAAAUUACAAUAACUUAUCUAGUUUUAAUUUCUGUUUCAUAAAUCGUUUCAACUCCUAAUAGUUUUGAAGUUAGCAAAAAAAAAAUGGAAAAUAGACAGGAUUUUUUUAAUACAAAACUUUAAAAACAUUUUCACAAAACACAAACACUUCACAAAAUUUGCACAGCAAAAUGACUCUAAUGGGGGUAAUAGGAACUGUAAAUUACACGUCUAACAUAAAUUUUGCAGAGAAAUUCGACAUUUGCGGAUAUUCGAGUUACGCGGAUUCGCCGGGAACACAGAAACCGCGUAACUCGGGAACAGACUGUAUGUACAGGCAACUCUCUCUUAUUUGAGACGCGAUGCGACUGUCGAAUAAGAGGGGUUUUCAAAUUACAGAGGUUGAAAGUGAAUGAACCCAAAUAGCCAGCUCGUACUUUAUAGCUGAUUUAGGGCUGUUUAACGAAAAAUCGUUCCAAUGUCGUACUUUGUGGCUGAUUAAGAGAUAGACGGCACUUUGCGGAACUAUGGAGCUUUUUAACAGGCACAUGGUACUCCUUGGAACUUUGCGGCUGAUUAACACUAUGUGUAGGGUUCAUGAUGGAACUUUAAGGCUUGUUAAGCACGUGUACCGAACUUGGUGGAACUUCAUAGCUUUUCAAUGCAUGACAUCGGUACGAGGUGGUUCUUGUCAAAGUGUCAAAGACAGACGCCGCCAAUCAUCUCAUUGCUGCUGUACAAGUUAGAUUAGUUCUUUGAAGAAGGGAUUUUGAAGGAAGUGAUUGUGAUUGUACAGUAAAUUGUGAUACGUUUCGUGUAAUUUAUGAAUAUUAAGGGUUUAAAAAUAUACACAUGUACACAAACAAAACAAA